GAAAACAUAGGAGGAGGAAAAUGGGUUUUGACUUAUCCCAAAAAAAAUUUAGAAGUUGAAAAAAUUUGGGAAAAAA
rnacentral:tRNA from 1 species